rnacentral:tRNA from 1 species
AUUUAGAUAGCUUAAUAUAAAAAGUUUGAUAUUGAAAAUAUCAAGAUAGAAUUUUUUCUUUUAGAUA